rnacentral:rRNA from 1 species
ACGAACCGUACGAACGUUAUUCGGAAUCACUGGGCUUAAAGAGUGCGUAGGCGGCUUGGCAAGUUGGGUGUGAAAUCCCUCGGCUCAACCGAGGAAUUGCGCUCAAAACUGCUAAGCUUGAGGGAGAUAGGGGUGAGCGGAACUAAUGGUGGAGCGGUGAAAUGCGUUGAUAUCAUUAGGAACACCGGAGGCGAAAGCGGCUCACUGGGUCUCUUCUGACGCUGAGGCACGAAAGCUAGGGGAGCGAACGGG